UUGGUGUACGUAGCAGGCCCCUCGCGCCUCAGGGAUCUACAGUAUACUGGGGUGGAACUUCACACUCAUACACUAGUGAUAGGAUUACGUGCUUCUUGAUAUUGACGGUGAAGUCACUACCUGGUAAAACUGGUUGAUUUCCCUGGAGAUCUGUCAGCAUCACGUCCUACAAGAGUUCCUCUUCUGGUGUUGGUGAAGGAUGACGCGGGCGCUGGUGACGAUACUGGUGGUGGCCUGCCUGGCGACUUGCUCCUCCGCUACAUCAAAUAAAAGUGACGUGUUGGAGCCAGAGUACAAGAUCAUAUCAGAUGCGAUCAUCGUUGAUUUGUUUAGGAUGGGCACUGCCAUGCUCAUCGUGGUCGGAGGUUGUCUCCUGUUCCGCGAGCUCGCCCUUGGCACCCUUAGCGCACUAGAAACGACAGAGGAGGAAGAGGAGGAUGGUUAUAAAGACAGGAACGACAUCUACAACUUCCACCGACCCAGUUUUUACGAUUAUCACAGACGACGGCCGUAUCCCCGAGCCAUGAUGGGCAGUGUGUCUCUCCUCACGAGGGUUCUCAAC